AGUGAACGCUGGCGGUAGGCCUAACACAUGCAAGUCGAACGGCAGCACAGGAGAGCUUGCUCUCUGGGUGGCGAGUGGCGGACGGGUGAGGAAUACAUCGGAAUCUACUCUGUCGUGGGGGAUAACGUAGGGAAACUUACGCUAAUACCGCAUACGACCUACGGGUGAACGCAGGGGAUCUUCGGACCUUGCGCGAUUGAAUGAGCCGAUGUCGAAUUAGCUAGUCGGGGGGGUAAAGGCCCACCAAGGCGACGAUCCGUAGCUGGUCUGAGAGGAUGAUCAGCCACACUGGAACUGAGACACGGUGCAGACCCCUACGGGAGGCAGGAGUGGGGAAUAUUGGACAAUGGGCGCAAGCCUGAUCCAGCCAUACCGCGUGGGUGAAGAGGGCCUUCGGGUUGUAAAGCCCUUUUGUUGGGAAAGAAAUCCAGCUGGCUAAUACCCGGUUGGGAUGACGGUACCCAAAGAAUAAGCACCGGCUAACUUCGUGCCAGCAGCCGCGGUAA
rnacentral:rRNA from 1 species